rnacentral:rRNA from 1 species
GACGAACGCUGGCGGCGUGCUUAACACAUGCAAGUCGAACGAAGUGGCGAACGGGUGAGUAACGCGUAAUCCACCUGCCCUUCAGAGGGGGACAACAGUUGGAAACGACUGCUAAUACCGCAUACAGAAGGAGGGGAGUGCGUCUGAUUAGCUAGUUGGUGGGGGAACGGCCCAACAAGGCGAUGAUCCGUAGCAGGUCUGGGAGGAGUAACGGCCAAAAGUGGCUUGGGACACGGGCCAGGCUUCUAAGGGAGGCAGCAGUGGGGAAUCUUCCGCAAUGGACGGAAGUCUGACGGAGCAACGCCGCGUGAGUGAUGACGGCCUUCGGGUUGUAAAGCUCUGUUAAGCGGGACGCGGUACCGGAAUAGAAAGCCACGGCUAACUACGUGCCAGCAGCCGCGGUAAUUC